GACGAACCGUGCGAACGUUAUUCGGAAUCACUGGGCUUAAAGCGCGUGUAGGCGGGACGGCACGUCGGUCGUUGAAAUCCCCCGGCUCAACCGGGGAACGGGCGCCGAUACGACCGUCCUGGAGGGACGUAGGGGGACCUGGAACUUCCGGUGGAGCGGUGAAAUGCGUUGAGAUCGGAAGGAACGCCCGUGGCGAAAGCGAGGUCCUGGACGUUUUCUGACGCUGAGACGCGAAAGCCAGGGGAGCGAACGGG
rnacentral:rRNA from 1 species